rnacentral:rRNA from 1 species
CAAUAGCGUAUAUUUAAGUUGUUGCAGUUAAAAAGCUCGUAGUUGGAUUUCGGUUAAGAGCGACCGGUCCGCCGUUUGGUGUGCACUGGUUGGUUUUAACUUCCUGUAGAGGACGUGCUCUGGGUUUAACGACCUGGACUCGGAGUCUACGUGGUUACUUUGAAAAAAUUAGAGUGUUCAAAGCGGGCUUACGCUUGAAUAUUUCAGCAUGGAAUAACACUAUAGGACUCCUGUCCUAUUUCGUUGGUCUCGGGACGGGAGUAAUGAUUAAGAGGAACAGUUGGGGGCAUUCGUAAUUCAUUGUCAGAGGUGAAAUUCUUGGAUUUAUGAAAGACGAACUUCUGCGAAAGCAUUUGCCAAGGAUGUUUUCAUUAA